AAUGAACGCUGGCGGCAGGCCUAACACAUGCAAGUCGAACGAAACCUCGGGUUUAGUGGCGGACGGGUGAGUAACGCGUGGGAACAUACCCUUUGGUACAGAAUAGCCUCGGGAAACUGGGAGUAAUACCGUAUGUGCCCUUCGGGGGAAAGAUUUAUCGCCAAAGGAUUGGCCCGCGUUGGAUUAGGUAGUUGGUGGGGUAAUGGCCUACCAAAGCCGACGAUCCAUAGCUGGUUUGAGAGGAUGAUCAGCCACACUGGGACUGAGACACGGCCCAGACUCCUACGGGAGGCAGCAGUGGGGAAUCUUAGACAAUGGGCGCAAGCCUGAUCUAGCCAUGCCGCGUGAUCGAUGAAGGCCUUAGGGUUGUAAAGAUCUUUCAGAUGGGAAGAUAAUGACGGUACCAUCAGAAGAAGCCCCGGCUAACUCCGUGCCAGCAGCCGCGGUAAAGUCGUACGA
rnacentral:rRNA from 1 species